GUGGAAAAUUGUCAAUCAAAUGGAACUUGCUCAAGAUCUUCUUUUGUGAAAUAUGAGUUCAAGUCCUUUGCCCCCAUUUCUUUCCUGCUCACCGCGUUUGGACAAGCACAGCUCUGUAGCAAAUCCUGAACACAAGUUCAUCAUGAAAAAGGGAAGAAAUAAAGAAGAUAGAGCACUUAAUAUGGUACAUGCAUCAUUUCAUUUACUUCUCCCUACAUUACAGCAAAGUAGAUGAUCCUCAUCUAGCUUUCAUUGACUGGGAAACUCAGGCUAAGAGAAGGCUCUUCCAGACACCAAUCUAUCCCACUGAUCGCAGUACCAUCAAAGACUGUGUGCUUCACUUUGACACUGCAG